UACAGAGGGGGCAAGCGUUGUUCGGAAUUACUGGGCGUAAAGGGCGCGUAGGCGGCCUGUUAAGUCGAACGUGAAAUCCCCGGGCUCAACCCGGGAACUGCGUCCGAUACUGGCAGGCUUGAAUUCGGGAGAGGGAUGUGGAAUUCCAGGCGUAGCGGUGAAAUGCGUAGAUAUCUGGAGGAACACCGGUGGCGAAGGCGGCAUCCUGGACCGAUAUUGACGCUGAUGCGCGAAAGCCAGGGGAGCAAACGGG
rnacentral:rRNA from 1 species